ACUAAUCUACCAACUGGGAUGAUUCUUCAAAGACACAUACAUAAUCACCAUCCAUACAAUUAACCUACUACUUAUAAUAUGGUUCUCUUUACUUCCAAUUUUGUUCCUUAUCUAAUAGCACAACAGUAAAAACUUAGUUGGUUUUGGUUGAUAACUGGUUGAUAACAGUUGUUGUACAAAGAAAAGUCAUUAUGUGAUAUUACAAAAACAGUAGGGCAAAAAGUAAAAAGCAAUUUAUCCAAUCAGUAUAAGUAAAUCGACCUCUUUCUUCCCAUGACCAUUUGGAGUUUGACUAAUAAAAACUUUAAAAAGAAUUUAUCUUUGCUAAAAAAUAUAUAAAUGUUUUUCCAUUACAUGAGCAAAGAACCGUUCUUUUAAAUGUACUUCACUCCAAAACUAUAUUGAAUAAAAUGUGCUUUCUAGAGAAUUUAGCAUCCAUCAUUACCUUUACAUAAUAAUUAUCAUUGGAAAUAAAUUACUAUUGAAAUAUAGGAAAUUUAAGUUAGUACAAAUCAUAUUUUUUGAUAUUCACUGUUAUUGAGAAUAGUAAAAUCAGAUUAACCAGAUACAAAUAAAUGUAGAUCACUUUGGCUAUGGACUUUGAUGGUAAUAAAGAACAUUUUAUUGAACUGUCUCCUCCACACCCCAAAUGACAUUGCUUUGAAUUCUCAUGAAUACCCAAAAUUGGUUGUGCAGGCUUCACUGAUUAUUCACUAACAAACUGCAGAGUUCUCUCCUUAAUUUGGGCAGAAAACAUCUAGGUUAAAUGCCAAUAAAUCUUGAAAAAGUGAUGGUGUUUUAAAAACAUGUAAAUAUCAAAUUUUAAAUUAUUAACUAUCAUAUAAUAAGCAAUCACUGUCUGUGAAAUAAAAGAAUGAUUUCACAGAAAUAUAUAAUUUAGAACUAGAAUGCUUAGAAAUCCUCUAAUUGAAUUCUUUUAUUUUAGAUAUGAAUUAAUAACAGAGGUUAAUGUUAUUUCUAUGGAAUUCCAUGACUUCCUAACUCCAAAGCUAAUCUUUUUCCUACCAUAAGAAGGAAAUCAUAUAUAUAUAUAAUUAAGUUUUCUUCUUAUGUAUAUUAAAAAUUAAAACUUCAGACUCAAAUUUUU
rnacentral:lncRNA from 1 species